CAAAGAGGCCAUUGGAAAGGCAUAUCAAAGGAUCACACUAUACAUCUGUACCCUUGAGGAUUUGUUGUCAAAGAGUCAAGAAGAUGACUCAGUUUCAGAAGAUGAUAAUGAAGUGGUUGUUAGGGCGCAACCCAAUAUGUCACCUCUUUCUGACACAGUGCUUUGGUCAAGUCCCGAAAGCAGUACACCAGAGCAUAGACAUCGGUCAGCCACAACAUCCCAGUCAUCUAAUGGGCAAGCCAAGAGUGCAACAAGACCCA